AGCGAACGCUGGCGGCAGGCCUAACACAUGCAAGUCGAACGCCCCUUCGGGGGAGUGGCGGACGGGUGAGUAACGCGUGGGAAUGUGCCCUUUGGUACGGAACAACUGAGGGAAACUUCGGCUAAUACCGUAUGUGCCCUCCGGGGGAAAGAUUUAUCGCCAUUGGAGCAGCCCGCGUUGGAUUAGGUAGUUGGUGGGUUAAUGGCCCACCAAGCCGACGAUCCAUAGCUGGUCUGAGAGGAUGAUCAGCCACACUGGGACUGAGACACGGCCCAGACUCCUACGGGAGGCAGCAGUGGGGAAUCUUGCGCAAUGGGCGAAAGCCUGACGCAGCCAUGCCGCGUGAAUGAUGAAGGUCUUAGGAUUGUAAAAUUCUUUCACCGGGGAAGAUAAUGACGGUACCCGGAGAAGAAGCCCCGGCUAACUUCGUG
rnacentral:rRNA from 1 species